UUGUGACCAUGUGCUGGUCUCUCUCCAGCAGCUCCAUGUCUCUCUUGCAUUGAGGAGCCCAGAACUGGACACAGCACUCCAGAUGUGGCCUCAGCA
rnacentral:miRNA from 12 species